GUAACGGUGUCUUUAGACACCACCCUUAUCUUCAAAAAAUUUGUU
rfam:Picea glauca, whole genome shotgun sequence.